rnacentral:rRNA from 2 species
GAUCAAUAUUUCGGUCAUGCCGUUGGUAUGCACUGUUAUCAUUGAUUUCUCACCUUCUAAAGAGCCGUAAUGCCAUUAAUUUGGUGUUACGUGGAAUUAGGACUGUUACCUUGAAAAAUUAGAGUGUCUAAAGCAGGCUCACGCUUGAAUACAUUAGCAUGGAAUAAUGAAAUAGGACAUCCGAUUCUAUUUUGUUGGUUUCUAGGAUCGAUGUAAUGAUUAAUAGGGAUAGUUGGG